rnacentral:rRNA from 1 species
UACGUAGGGUGCGAGCGUUAAUCGGAAUUACUGGGCGUAAAGCGUGCGCAGGCGGCGCGUUAAGACAGGUGUGAAAGCCCCGAGCUUAACUUGGGAAUUGCGCUUGUGACUGGCGAGCUGGAGUGUGGCAGAGGGAGGUGGAAUUCCACGUGUAGCAGUGAAAUGCGUAGAGAUGUGGAGGAACACCGAUGGCGAAGGCAGCCUUCUGGGCCAAUACUGACGCUCAUGCACGAAAGCGUGGGGAGCAAACAGG